ensembl:snoRNA
AAGCGACACUCUGUGGCAGAUUAACAAAACUACCUGACACAAUUUGAGCUUGCUAUAGCAAGAAAAUCUAAUCCAUUCUGGUAUUCUCCUCCCCAUGAGAGGGCCCAUUAUAUAGCCGCAAAUAAU